UUCAGUUCUGGUGGCUAUUUUAUAAUUCCCACUGUAUCUUUCAAAAUCUCAUUUCCCUCUCUGGUCAAAUUCAUCAAAAGCUCUGUUCCCGGGACAACCUCUGCCUCUGCUUAACAUGCCCCCUCUUGG